rnacentral:tRNA from 1 species
GUAUAUGUAGCUCAGUGGUAGAGCAUGUGCUUAGCAUGCAUGAGGUCCUGGGUUCAAUCCCCAAUAUUUCCA